UUCUCUGGUGUUUUAUCUUAAUUCUUAUUAAACAUAGGUUUAGUCCUAUCCAUUCAUCAUGUCUUACUCAAACCUGUUUUAAUUUAUAUAUUGUACUAGUUGUCGAUCAUUGGGUGACCAGUCGAGUAUCCAAAUUGACAAGAAACAUAAACAUAGUGCUCAUUCAUAAAAUCCUAAUGAUAGAUUUUUGUAUAGUGUUUAAAAUUUCUUUUAUUUAAUUGUCUGACAGGAGGUUCCAUGGAUGCGAGACCCUGGAUGAAUAUUAUCAACGUAACAGUUGUGGGGCUCAUAUAACUAAUAUUAAGAUUCCUCUUCUUCUGGUCAAUGCUGAAGAUGAUCCUAUUGUUCCGCUGGAUCUGUUGGAAUGUCCCAAAACCACAGCUGGUUUGUUGCCAAAUGUGAUAUUUGCUCUGACCAAGCAUGGUGGACAUUUAGGCUUUUUUGAGAAAGGGAUCAUACGUCCUGAUUGUAUAACAUGGAUGGACAGACUAAUAGUUGAGUAUGCAGAUACCAUAGUGACACUCCACAAAGAGGGAGUGCUGCCCCUAAGUGGUGGAGACUGCACAAAGUCUGCUUUGGAUGGCUUAAUUGAUGGCCACCAUGGACUUGACAGCCCGACACACCCAUUAAGAAAGGAAGGUGCAGAUGACCAAGUCGUGUCACAGUCAGUUGAAAAUGUUGACUCAGUGACGGAUGACUUAGUUUCAUAUCCACUGCUAAAUGGAUACAUAGAUGUGAAACACUAAGUUUGUGCAAGUGGUUGGGAAUACAUUUAGACAGUAAUAACAUUUUGAAGAAGUAACUUCAGUCAUUAUGAUCAGAAACCGGUGAACAAAAAUAUAAACACAUUCUAGAAUCUUUUUUUUUUAUACAAAAUAUUUAGAAAAAAGGGAAAGAUUUUUUUUUUUGCAAAAUUGAAAUGAAUCUCAUAUUUUUUUAAAGCAAAGAUUUGACAAAAAUAUAAGAUUAAAAAAAAAUAGUUAUCUGAUAAAAAUUUAAAAGAAAGUCAAACGUGUUUAUUUUUCAACUAAAUGAGAUAAUUCUUGACCAAGUUUUUAUCAUUUUGUAUGGGUCCAAAUAGUUCAUUAUUCAAACUAAUGCCAUUUUUUUACCAUAAUGUCUGAUUAGAACUUCUUAUUCUAAUUUCACACUAUUAUUAUUAUUAUUUUUUUUGCUAUCAUACUAAGAGCUGGUUUAGAAGCUUUUUAGGAUAAUGUGCCUUUUCAAAAUCUUACUUGACUGUCUUCUAGCUAAAGCUACACUAAUGAGAAACUGUCAGUUGAUUGGUAAUAUGAA
rnacentral:sRNA from 1 species